AUUGAAGCCCUACCUUUAUUUUUAACAUAGAAAGGGUGGUCCAGCUUGCACUCCACAGUAAGCAAGCCAUCUUCUACUGUACCAGGAUCAAAUGUCAACUUCAGUACAGACUCACCGAAUGACACACUCUCUUCAUGGGAUAACAACUUUAGACCAUCAGACCCAUAGCCCUGAAAGCAUAUGCGUGGACUAAAUAAACUGGAAAUGUUCAAUUCAACACACAGUGAAACUCCCAAUAUGUCUUGAUUAGAAAAGGUAAAUUUAGUCAGUAUCUCCAGCUUUAAAGUACUUUCAACCAAGUAGUAAAGAAACACACACAUAAAUGACCACAGAAUAUAUGUCAGACCGGAAUAUGCAUUUUAACCCAAACAUAAGUAAUAUGAGAUUUAAUAAACAAAGACUAAUUCUAAGAUAGACUAAGGAGACACCCUCUGUCUUCCCUUAGUUUGCACAGCAGCAGUACCCUAGUUCUGUCCUUUGCCGAUUGCUGGCAGUGUGAUGUCUUCCUCCUCACAGCCCUAGUGACUGGAGCACUAUUUGUCUUUAAAGCCACUUAGUUUUCUAGAAUAAGAGCGUUUAAAGCAUGAAACUGCACAUAACACCAACCACCCAUCUUAGAAGCAUAACUGGGAAGUGAUACAGUCAUGGUUCUAUCCACCUCACUAGGCAGUGAGUGUUCACACAGAGUGCAAGGUCCACUUAAACAGGAAUCCAAGUAGAGGGUUCCUCUAGAUUAACCGUAAGGUUGAUCAGUGUGAAAUUCUUAGAAGGAUUUUAAAUGAACCUUGUGAGUGCCCAUUUGGAUCUCCUCCUCAUCACAGCUGGCGGCUCUAGCAAAGUCUUCAACAUCUUGCCACUCCUUUUUGCUUUCCUUAUGGAAGCACAGUCGUGUGCCUGAAGUGGAAUUAGAAAGAAGGGUCAGCCAACAUGCUCAGUGUGCUACCCAAGGCAGCUGCAAAACACAAGUCUUCCUUCACCUUUGAGAAAGCAAUGCCAAACGGUUGAUGGCCAGGAAUUGCACCAGCCCAGAUCAUCAUCAUCUGACAGGGAGGACAUGCAGAAAAUUCCUGACUCUGACUCACUGUUUGCCUGUAGAGAGAAAACAGAAACUUCUGUUUUGUUAUUUUUUUUUAAAGAUCUUUUAAUACCUCUUCUAAACUCAAGCUUUCAAAUGUUACUUAAUUGUAAGCUUAAGGAAAGUAAGCUUUCAAUACUGAAGGAUGUUUUGAAGUUUUAAAUACUGUCAUUUCCUAAAAAUAGAAAUACAGAAUCAAACACGUACAAUUAAUAAACAAUGAAAUAUUUUGUCCAUCUGUAUGUUCUUCAAAAGAAUUUCUUAGAUGGGGGAAAGAUAAUGUUUUCAACCAUUAUAUAAACUUUGUAGAAGCCUGACUUCAUGAAUAAACUCACCCUUUCAUGUCU
rnacentral:lncRNA from 1 species